rnacentral:rRNA from 1 species
CAGUCGCCACGGUAAUACGGAGGGUGCAAGCGUUAAUCGGAAUUACUGGGCGUAAAGCGCACGCAGGCGGUUUGUUAAGUCAGAUGUGAAAUCCCCGAGCUUAACUUGGGAACUGCAUUUGAAACUGGCAAGCUAGAGUCUUGUAGAGAGGGGUAGAAUUCCAGGUGUAGCGGUGAAAUGCGUAGAGAUCUGGAGGAAUACCGGUGGCGAAGGCGGCCCCCUGGACAAAGACUGACGCUCAGGUGCGAAAGCGUGGGGAGCAAACAGGAUUAGAUACCCCAGUAGUCCCUGUCUCUUAUAA